AGGACGAACGCUGGCGGCGCGCUUCAAGCAUGCAAGUCGAACGAGAUACCCGGGCUUGCCCGGGUGGAGAGUGGCGAACGGGUGAGUAACACGUGAGGAACCUGCCCCGAAGACCGGGAUAACGCCGGGAAACUGGUGCUAAUACCGGAUGCCCUCGCCGGAUCGCAUGGUCUGGCGAAGAAAUGGAUUCCGCUUCGGGAUGGCCUCGCGGCCUAUCAGCUAGUUGGUGGGGUAACGGCCCACCAAGGCGACGACGGGUAGCUGGUCUGAGAGGAUGUCCAGCCACACUGGGACUGAGACACGGCCCAGACUCCUACGGGAGGCAGCAGCUAGGAAUCUUGCGCAAUGGACGAAAGUCUGACGCAGCGACGCCGCGUGCGGGAUGAAGGCCUUAGGGUCGUAAACCGCUUUCAGCAGGGACGAAAUUGACGGUACCUGCAGAAGAAGCCCGGCAACUACGCGCCAGCAGCCGCGGUAA
rnacentral:rRNA from 1 species